ACAGCAGCAGCCGCGGUAACACGGAGGGUGCAAGCGUUAAUCGGAAUUACUGGGCGUAAAGCGCACGCAGGCGGUUUGUUAAGUCAGAUGUGAAAUCCCCGAGCUUAACUUGGGAACUGCAUUUGAAACUGGCAAGCUAGAGUCUUGUAGAGGGGGGUAGAAUUCCAGGUGUAGCGGUGAAAUGCGUAGAGAUCUGGAGGAAUACCGGUGGCGAAGGCGGCCCCCUGGACAAAGACUGACGCUCAGGUGCGAAAGCGUGGGGAGCAAACAGGAUUAGAUACCCCGGUAGUCCCUGUCUCUUAUAA
rnacentral:rRNA from 1 species